rnacentral:rRNA from 1 species
GAUCAUGGCUCAGAACGAACGCUGGCGGCAUGCCUAACACAUGCAAGUCGAACGAGACCUUCGGGUCUAGUGGCGCACGGGUGCGUAACGCGUGGGAAUCUGCCCUUUGCUUCGGAAUAACAGUUAGAAAUGACUGCUAAUACCGGAUGAUGUCUUCGGACCAAAGAUUUAUCGGCAAAGGAUGAGCCCGCGUAGGAUUAGGUAGUUGGUGGGGUAAAGGCCUACCAAGCCGACGAUCCUUAGCUGGUCUGAGAGGAUGAUCAGCCACACUGGGACUGAGACACGGCUCAGACUCCUACGGGAGGCAGCAGUGGGGAAUAUUGGACAAUGGGCGCAAGCCUGAUCCAGCAAUGCCGCGUGAGUGAUGAAGGCCUUCGGGUCGUAAAGCUCUUUUACCAGGGAUGAUAAUGACAGUACCUGGAGAAUAAGCUCCGGCUAACUCCGUG